UACAGAGGGUGCAAGCGUUAAUCGGAUUUACUGGGCGUAAAGGGCGCGUAGGUGGUUAUUUAAGUGAGAUGUGAAAUCCCCGGGCUUAACCUGGGAACUGCAUCUUAUACUGGGUAACUGGAGUGAAGUAGAGGGUAGUGGAAUUUCCGGUGUAGCGGUGAAAUGCGUAGAUAUCGGAAGGAACACCAGUGGCGAAGGCGGCUACCUGGACUUACACUGACACUGAGGCGCGAGAGCGUGGGGAGCAAACAGG
rnacentral:rRNA from 1 species